CGGCGGUGAGGACACACCUACUGUGCGGAGUUGCCGUGAUGCCUCUUAUACGCUAUUCUGAGCCGAUA